UUUUUUUUUUUGAUAAUGAGAAUAAAUCUCAACGAAUAUGACUCGGCAAUUCACCGUGAUAAUUCUUUCAUUCAAGAAAGCUUAUUAUCUAACCGUCGGACAUGCAAGAUGACCGGGGAAAUUUAGACAAUAAAACUUUAAUGUCCGAAAAGAAAACCGGUCUUCUUCCAAGAAUCCUGAAAAUAGAACAAGGAAAACAAGAAAAAUAUAAGUCAAUAUAUAAAACAGAUUAUAUCAAAUAUUUCCACAAUCAUGAUAACUCAUAAUUGAGACAAUUAAACUCUCAAUUAAGGCACAAUUAAUAAAAUAUUAACGUCCUUAAUUAAGACACAAUUAACACCCUUAAUUAAGGCUCAAUUAACGCCAUCAAUUAGGAGGCACAAUUUACGCCCUCAAUGGCACAAUUAAAGCCCUCAUUAAGAGGCACAAUAAAACGUCCUCAAUUAAGGCACAAUUAACGCCUUCCUUUUUGAAAUCGGAUCCCGUACUCAUCCCGGAGCCUCUGUCGCCGCCAUCCUCGGCGGCCACCGCUAUGCUAUCUCUCUCGUACAUGACCGCUUCAAUCAAAAUUGAGAAAAGAGUAUACCAAGAAUAAGCAUGAGUAGAUUCAUGACUGCGUCGAGAGCUGGUGGAGUGAUUUUAUUCGGGAGUCCAAAACAGAUUUAACAUAACUAAAUCCAAGAAACUAAACAAACACAUCAAAAUUGCCAAGAACAAGCAUUCCAUACCCAAACAAGGUGCAGUUUAAAAUACAUACAUAGCCAAAAAUCAAGAACUAUAAUGAACUAACACACAAUCUAUUACCUAAGAUUAUCAAAACCGCAAAAACAAAAUGCAAAGAUCUGACACAAAAACAAGUCUUUGACACUGAAGUGAACCAAAAUCAAUGAGAUUAAUCUCUCUAAAAAGAAGAAGAGAUCGUAAAUAAUAAUAAAAAAUAAUUUACAUUUGUAGUGCAAUAGGAGCAGAUAAAAAGAGGAACGGACUCACCGGACAGGCUUCAGACUAUAAUAUGAUGGCUCUCUAAAAAGAAGAAGAGAUCGUAAAUAAUAAUAAAAAAUAAUUUACAUUUGUAGUGCAAUAGGAGCAGAUAAAAAGAGGAACGGACUCACCGGACAGGCUUCAGACUAUAAUAUGAUGGCUGAUCGGAUGAUGGAGACGAUGGGAAAAUCGAUCAACGAAUCCC
rnacentral:lncRNA from 1 species